GAUGAACGCUGGCGGCGUGCUUAACACAUGCAAGUCGAACGAUGAAGCUCAGCUUGCUGGGUGGAUUAGUGGCGAACGGGUGAGUAACACGUGAGUAACCUGCCCUUAACUCUGGGAUAAGCCUGGGAAACUAGGUCUAAUACCGGAUAGGAGCGCCUACCGCAUGGUGGGUGUUGGAAAGAUUUAUCGGUUUUGGAUGGACUCGCGGCCUAUCAGCUUGUUGGUGAGGUAAUGGCUCACCAAGGCGACGACGGGUAGCCGGCCUGAGAGGGUGACCGGCCACACUGGGACUGAGACACGGCCCAGACUCCUACGGGAGGCAGCAGUGGGGAAUAUUGCACAAUGGGCGAAAGCCUGAUGCAGCGACGCCGCGUGAGGGAUGACGGCCUUCGGGUUGUAAACCUCUUUCAGUAGGGAAGAAGCGAAAGUGACGGUACCUGCAGAAGAAGCACCGGCUAACUACG
rnacentral:rRNA from 1 species